rnacentral:rRNA from 1 species
CCUACGGGUGGCUGCAGUGGGGGAUAUUGCACAAUGGGCGAGAGCCUGAUGCAGCGACGCAGCGUGAACGAAGACGUCUUUAUGUGUGUAAAGCUCUAUCAACAGGGAAGUAAAUGACGCUACGUGACUAAGAAUCUCCGGCUCAAUACGUGCCAGCAGCCGCGGUCAUACGUAUGGAGCCAGCGUUAUCCGGAUUUACUGGGUGUAAAGGGAGCGUAGGCGGCUCUGUAAGUCUGAUGUGAAAAUUUGGGGCUCAACCCCAAAAGUGCAGUGGAAACUGGAGGGCUUGAGUGCCGGAGAGGCAGGCGGAAUUCCUAGUGUAGCGGUGAAAUGCGUAGAUAUCAGGAGGAACACCAGUGGCGAAGGCGGCCUGCUGGACGGUAACUGACGCUGAGGCUCGAAAGCGUGGGUAGCAAACAGGAUUAGAUACCCUAGUAGUC